rnacentral:rRNA from 1 species
UUCGCCCUUAGAGUUUGAUCCUGGCUCAGGACGAACGCUGGCGGCGUGCCUAACACAUGCAAGUCGAGCGAGUGGAGUUCUUCGGAACAAAGCUAGCGGCGGACGGGUGAGUAACACGUGGGCAACCUGCCUCAUAGAGGGGAAUAGCCUCCCGAAAGGGAGAUUAAUACCGCAUAAGAUUGUAGCUUCGCAUGAAGUAGCAAUUAAAGGAGCAAUCCGCUAUGAGAUGGGCCCGCGGCGCAUUAGCUAGUUGGUGAGGUAACGGCUCACCAAGGCGACGAUGCGUAGCCGACCUGAGAGGGUGAUCGGCCACAUUGGGACUGAGACACGGCCCAGACUCCUACGGGAGGCAGCAGUGGGGAAUAUUGCACAAUGGGGGAAACCCUGAUGCAGCAACGCCGCGUGAGUGAUGACGGCCUUCGGGUUGUAAAGCUCUGUCUUCAGGGACGAUAAUGACGGUACCUGAGGAGGAAGCCACGGCUAACUACGUGCCAGCAGCCGCGGUAAUACGUAGGUGGCGAGCGUUGUCCGGAUUUACUGGGCGUAAAGGGAGCGUAGGCGGACUUUUAAGUGAGAUGUGAAAUACCCGGGCUCAACUUGGGUGCUGCAUUUCAAGCUGGAAGUCUAGAGUGCAGGAGAGGAGAAUGGAAUUCCUAGUGUAGCGGUGAAAUGCGUAGAGAUUAGGAAGAACACCAGUGGCGAAGGCGAUUCUCUGGACUGUAACUGACGCUGAGGCUCGAAAGCGUGGGGAGCAAACAGGAUUAGAUACCCUGGUAGUCCACGCCGUAAAACGAGGAAUACUAGGUGUAGGGGGUUGUCAUGACCCUCUGUGCCGCCGCUAACGCAUUAAGUAUUCCGCCUGGGGAGUACGGUCGCAAGAUUAAAACUCAAAGGGAAUUGACGGGGGCCCGCACAAGCAGCGGAGCAUGUGGUUUAAUUCGAAGCAACGCGAAGAACCUUACCUAGACUUGACAUCUCCUGCAUUACCCUUAAUCGGGGAAGUUCCUUCGGGGACAGGAAGACAGGUGGUGCAUGGUUGUCGUCAGCUCGUGUCGUGAGAUGUUGGGUUAAGUCCCGCAACGAGCGCAACCCUUAUUGUUAGUUGCUACCAUUUAGUUGAGCACUCUAGCGAGACUGCCCGGGUUAACCGGGAGGAAGGUGGGGAUGACGUCAAAUCAUCAUGCCCCUUAUGUCUAGGGCUACACACGUGCUACAAUGGCAAGUACAAAGAGAAGCAAGACCGCGAGGUGGAGCAAAACUCAAAAACUUGUCUCAGUUCGGAUUGUAGGCUGAAACUCGCCUACAUGAAGCUGGAGUUGCUAGUAAUCGCGAAUCAGCAUGUCGCGGUGAAUACGUUCCCGGGCCUUGCACACACCGCCCGUCA